rnacentral:lncRNA from 1 species
CUUCUUUUUUGUUGUUUAUUUAUUUAAAUUUUUCAAAAUUUCCAUUCUCAAAUAAUAAAAUUUAGAAUAUCUGUAUGUAUGUUAAAACUUUGUUAUAUUUGCAUCAUACUUAUUUUUUCAGUCCUUCUUUUGAACAUUCUACUUCGUUAUAAUUCUGAUGAUAGCGUUUCUUUGUUUACAUUGCAUAUGCCGUCAUAAUUUAAAUAACG